GGUAGGGUGGCUGAGCGUGUAAGUGGCGGGUUGUAGCCCUGAAGACAGAGGUUUAAGUCCUCUCCCUACCA
rnacentral:tRNA from 1 species